CGGCUGUAGCUCAGUGGAUAGAGUAUUGGCCUCCGAAGCCAAGGGUCGUGGGUUCGAUCCCCGCCAGCCGCACCA
rnacentral:tRNA from 1 species